GCGCACUCCAGCGGAUCAAAGCCAGUUCGAUAUAACAUGAUUUCACCUAUAUCAUAGUACAAUUUUUUGGCUCCCAAGGACAGUGUUAUAUUGGGGUAGAGGUAGAGGCUUGACAGCACCAA